UACGUAGGGUGCAAGCGUUGUCCGGAUUUAUUGGGCGUAAAGCGCUCGUAGGCGGUUUGGUAAGUCGGGUGUGAAACCUCCAGGCUCAACCUGGUGACGCCACCCGAUACUGCCAUGACUUGAGUUCGGUAGGGGAGCGGGGAAUUCCUGGUGUAGCGGUGAAAUGCGCAGAUAUCAGGAGGAACACCGGUGGCGAAGGCGCCGCUCUGGGCCGAAACUGACGCUGAGGAGCGAAAGCGUGGGGAGCAAACAGG
rnacentral:rRNA from 1 species